UAGGGAAUCUUCCACAAUGGACGCAAGUCUGAUGGAGCAACGCCGCGUGAGUGAAGAAGGUUUUCGGACCGUAAAGCUCUGUUGUUGGUGAAGAAGGAUAGAGGUAGUAACUGGCCUUUAUUUUGACGGUAAUCAACCAGAAAGUCACGGCUAACUACGUGCCAGCAGCCGCGGUAAUCGUAGGUGGCAAGCGUUGUCCGGAUUUAUUGGGCGUAAAGCAAGCGCAGGCGGAAGAAUAAGUCUGAUGUAAAGCCCUCGGCUUAACCGAGGAAUUGCAUCGGAAACUGUUUUCUGAGUGCAGAAGAGAGAGUAGAACUCCAUAUGUAGCGGUGGAAUGCGUAGAUAUAUGGAAGAAUACCAGUGGCGAAGGCGGCUCUCUGGUCUGCAACUGACGCUGAGGCUCGAAAGCAUGGGUAGCGAACAGGAUUAGAUACCCUGGUAGUCCAUGCCGUAAACGAUGAGUGCUAAGUGUUGGGAGGCUUCCGCCUCUCAGUGCUGCAGCUAACGCAUUAAGCACUCCGC
rnacentral:rRNA from 1 species